rnacentral:lncRNA from 1 species
UGCUGCCACGUAAGACAUGCCUUUCACCUUCUGCCAUGAUUGUGAGGUGUCCCCAGCCCCAUGGAAAUGUUCAUAGGUGGAAGGGACUUGCCUUGUCUCAGAUGAGACUUUGGACUGUGGAUUUCUAAGUUAAUGCUGAAAUGAGUUAAGACUUUUGGGGACUGCUGGGAAGUCUCAGGUAUGUCUUUAUCAGCAGCAUGAAAACGGACUAAUAUAGCACCUCUGCUGACAGCUAUAGGACCAAGGACUGUAGACCCAAAUGCAGCAGGUGUGCACAGUGUGUUCCUUUACUCCUGCCCCAGGGAAGUGUGCCUGAGUUCUUCUUUUGUUGACCACCUGGGCUGAGGAUCAAUGCUGCCACCGGCUGUGGGCGCGUCUGGAAUUUUCCCUGGAAUCCAGGGACAAAUACACUUGUUCAGUUUUUAAUUUAUUUUAAAUUUUUAUUUGUGCUCCUCCAUAGCCACACGUAUUUUCCUGUCAUGAAGAUUUUCUUUAAUAAAGCUGCAAGUUUUGGGGAAAGUAUGUGUGAUGACUGGGAACUGAUUCCCGAAGGCUAGCUGCAAACCACGACUGGGAAAGAAGCAGGAUGGGCCCAGACUUUGCGGUGGCUGCUGUCCACCAGAACAUUCAGGUUCAGAAGGGUCGUGGGGGUCCCCGAGCCUGCUGAAAGAUGAGGCCCAGUCCUGGCUCCACUCAACUUACCGCACCCAUGCUUCAUUGCUCCUCAAAGCACUCACGACUCUGAUAUUUUGCUUCUAUAUUUGCUUCUUAUUUGUCUCCCAUCACUAGGAUGAAAUCUUCCAGAGAGCAAUGGUUUUCUCUGUCUUAUUCACUGUUGUAAAUAGUGCCUGGCACAUAGUAGGCACUGAAUAAAUAUUUGUUGAAUCAAUGCAUGAAUGAAACUUCAA